CUAAGACAGUGCUGACGUCGACAACGUCUUAGAAAGCCAACCUUCAAAGACAGCCGUGACGUCAACACCGUCUUUGAAGCCUGGUUUUCUAAGACGGUCGUGAUGUCAGCACCGUCUUU
rfam:Glycine max cultivar Williams 82 chromosome 1, whole genome shotgun sequence.